AGAGUUUGAUCAUGGCUCAGAGCGAACGCUGGCGGCAGGCCUAACACAUGCAAGUCGAGCGCCCCGCAAGGGGAGCGGCAGACGGGAGAGUAACACGUGGGAACGUACCCUUUGGUUCGGAACAACCCAGGGAAACUUGGGCUAAUACCGGAUAAGCCCUUACGGGGAAAGAUUUAUCGCCGAAGGAUCGGCCCGCGUCUGAUUAGCUAGUUGGUGGGGUAGUGGCCCACCAAGGCUACGAUCAGUAGCUGGUCUGAGAGGAUGAUCAGCCUCACUGGGACUGAGACACGGCCCAGACUCCUACGGGAGGCAGCAGUGGGGAAUAUUGGACAAUGGGCGCAAGCCUGAUCCAGCCAUGCCGCGUGGGUGAUGAAGGCCCUAGGGUUGUAAAGCCCUUUCGGCGGGGAAGAUAAUGACGGUACCCGCAGAAGAAGCCCCGGCUAACUUCGUGCCAGCAGCCGCGGUAAUACGAAGGGGGCUAGCGUUGCUCGGAAUCACUGGGCGUAAAGCGCACGUAGGCGGAUUGCUAAGUCAGGGGUGAAAUCCUGGAGCUCAACUCCAGAACUGCCCUUGAUACUGGCGACCUCGAGUCCGGGAGAGGUGAGUGGAACUGCGAGUGUAGAGGUGAAAUUCGUAGAUAUUCGCAAGAACACCAGUGGCGAAGGCGGCUCACUGGCCCGGUACUGACGCUGAGGUGCGAAAGCGUGGGGAGCAAACAGGAUUAGAUACCCUAGUAGUCC
rnacentral:rRNA from 1 species